rnacentral:rRNA from 1 species
UCUAGAGAUUUGGCGGACGGGUGAGUAAUGCAUCGGAACGUGCCCAUGUCGUGGGGGAUAACGUAGCGAAAGCUACGCUAAUACCGCAUACGCCCUGAGGGGGAAAGCGGGGGAUUCUUCGGAACCUCGCGCGAUUGGAGCGGCCGAUGUCGGAUUAGCUAGUAGGUGAGGUAAAGGCUCACCUAGGCGACGAUCCGUAGCGGGUCUGAGAGGAUGAUCCGCCACACUGGGACUGAGACACGGCCCAGACUCCUACGGGAGGCAGCAGUGGGGAAUUUUGGACAAUGGGCGCAAGCCUGAUCCAGCCAUGCCGCGUGAGUGAAGAAGGCCUUCGGGUUGUAAAGCUCUUUCGGCCGGGAAGAAAUCGUGGUCUCUAACAUAGGCCAUGGAUGACGGUACCGGACUAAGAAGCACCGGCUAACUACGUGCCAGCAGCCGCGGUAUAAUCGUCGAC